rnacentral:rRNA from 1 species
UACGAAGGGGGCUAGCGUUGCUCGGAAUCACUGGGCGUAAAGGGUGCGUAGGCGGGGCUUUAAGUCAGGGGUGAAAUCCUGGAGCUCAACUCCAGAACUGCCUUUGAUACUGAAGAUCUUGAGUUCGGGAGAGGUGAGUGGAACUGCGAGUGUAGAGGUGAAAUUCGUAGAUAUUCGCAAGAACACCCGUGGCGAAGGCGGCUCUCUGGGAAGGUACUGACGCUGAGACGCGAAAGCGUGGGGAGCGAACAGG